AGAGUUUGAUCCUGGCUCAGGAUGAACGCUGGCGGCGUGCCUAAUACAUGCAAGUCGAGCGAACGGACGAGAAGCUUGCUUCUCUGAUGUUAGCGGCGGACGGGUGAGUAACACGUGGAUAACCUACCUAUAAGACUGGGAUAACUUCGGGAAACCGGAGCUAAUACCGGAUAAUAUUUUGAACCGCAUGGUUCAAAAGUGAAAGACGGUCUUGCUGUCACUUAUAGAUGGAUCCGCGCUGCAUUAGCUAGUUGGUAAGGUAACGGCUUACCAAGGCAACGAUGCAUAGCCGACCUGAGAGGGUGAUCGGCCACACUGGAACUGAGACACGGUCCAGACUCCUACGGGAGGCAGCAGUAGGGAAUCUUCCGCAAUGGGCGAAAGCCUGACGGAGCAACGCCGCGUGAGUGAUGAAGGUCUUCGGAUCGUAAAACUCUGUUAUUAGGGAAGAACAUAUGUGUAAGUAACUGUGCACAUCUUGACGGUACCUAAUCAGAAAGCCACGGCUAACUACGUGCCAGCAGCCGCGGUAAUACGUAGGUGGCAAGCGUUAUCCGGAAUUAUUGGGCGUAAAGCGCGCGUAGGCGGUUUUUUAAGUCUGAUGUGAAAGCCCACGGCUCAACCGUGGAGGGUCAUUGGAAACUGGAAAACUUGAGUGCAGAAGAGGAAAGUGGAAUUCCAUGUGUAGCGGUGAAAUGCGCAGAGAUAUGGAGGAACACCAGUGGCGAAGGCGACUUUCUGGUCUGUAACUGACGCUGAUGUGCGAAAGCGUGGGGAUCAAACAGGAUUAGAUACCCUGGUAGUCCACGCCGUAAACGAUGAGUGCUAAGUGUUAGGGGGUUUCCGCACCUUAGUGCUGCAGCUAACGCAUUAAGCACUCCGCCUGGGGAGUACGACCGCAAGGUUGAAACUCAAAGGAAUUGACGGGGACCCGCACAAGCGGUGGAGCAUGUGGUUUAAUUCGAAGCAACGCGAAGAACCUUACCAAAUCUUGACAUCCUUUGACAACUCUAGAGAUAGAGCCUUCCCCUUCGGGGGACAAAGUGACAGGUGGUGCAUGGUUGUCGUCAGCUCGUGUCGUGAGAUGUUGGGUUAAGUCCCGCAACGAGCGCAACCCUUAAGCUUAGUUGCCAUCAUUAAGUUGGGCACUCUAAGUUGACUGCCGGUGACAAACCGGAGGAAGGUGGGGAUGACGUCAAAUCAUCAUGCCCCUUAUGAUUUGGGCUACACACGUGCUACAAUGGACAAUACAAAGGGCAGCGAAACCGCGAGGUCAAGCAAAUCCCAUAAAGUUGUUCUCAGUUCGGAUUGUAGUCUGCAACUCGACUACAUGAAGCUGGAAUCGCUAGUAAUCGUAGAUCAGCAUGCUACGGUGAAUACGUUCCCGGGUCUUGUACACACCGCCCGUCACACCACGAGAGUUUGUAACACCCGAAGCCGGUGGAGUAACCUUUUAGGAGCUAGCCGUCGAAGGUGGGACAAAUGAUUGGGGUGAAGUCGUAACAAGGUAGCCGUAUCGGAAGGUGCGGCUGGAUCACCU
rnacentral:rRNA from 2 species